CCUACGGGAGGCAGCAGUGGGGAAUAUUGCACAAUGGGGGAAACCCUGAUGCAGCGACGCCGCGUGAGUGAAGAAGUACUUCGGUAUGUAAAGCUCUAUCAGCAGGAAAGAAAAUGACGGUACCUGACUAAGAAGCCCCAGCUAACUACGUGCCAGCAGCCGCGGUAAU
rnacentral:rRNA from 1 species